UUUGAUGCUGGUAUCCAUAUUCCUCCUUCUCAUCAACAACAAAAAGGAUGACUACUUAAGAUUCUGUUGUCUUAAAGGCUUUAUUAAGUUAUUGCCCAAGGUAGGAAAGGGAUAUUAUUGUCUACAUAUGUUUGCCAGAAUCAUGCAGCUUCUCUAUUCUGGCUUUCCUAGCAGGUGUCUCUUUAAGUACUUAUUCUAAAUGGAACACAACUGGGAGACAUCAGAAAGGGCACUGUUGACAACUGUCAUAGCAGGCUCCAGCUUGAAUGGUAACUGAGCAGAAGGUCUCUCUCCAGCGUACUUCAGAUCAUCCUAAUAGCAGCAUCAUUUCCACUAGGAACCCAGCUUCUACCAGAAAGGAGUGCUGGGAAAUAGUGCUUCUGGUGAAAUCUGAUCUCCUCAGUGGAAAUGGUCCAUGCCACCAGAUUUCCUACAGAAAAUAGCUAUAGAGCAAUGAAAAGAACCCUGAUUUUAAAGGCAAAAUUACAAUAGUUGAAUGAAACACAUAACCCACAUAUAUGUCAACACUGAUAAGUGAAAAUAUGUUAAGUUAAUCUUUAUUCAUACCUGUUGAUCCCUUAAUGUACUCUAAAACCUUUUCACAACAUAAAUGGAAAGAAAACACUAAAACUAUCCAACAUUCCCAUUAAAAUAACAUAAAAAGAUUAGGUUACCAAAGAUAAAAACAAUGAUUUAGAUAAAUACAUUCAGGUAUUUGAUAUUCAUUUUUUAUCUUACAUUAUUAUCUCUAUUAAUCUUUAGGUUAUGUUAUUAUUGCUAUUAUUGUUGCUGUCAUUAACCAUAAAAGAACAGGAGACUUAUUUUCAGAAGGUGAAAUUUAAGAAUACAUUUAAAUGAUAAUUUUCAGCUAGAGCUUAUAAGAUAUUUAGGGUAAAGUUGCUCUGCAAACCAAAUAUGGAGAAAGAAAACAACAACACAGAUUUUCUUCUUAUGCAGUAUUAUCCAUCUGCAAAAUAAAAGCUACUAUAAUUUCUGCAUGAUUACAAAAAAAUGGUUAAUAUUACACAGCAUGCUUUAUUACAACUUCUGAAAGGUACCUGUUAGGGGUGCCUGGGUGGCUCAUUCGGUUGGGUGGCUGACUUUGGCUCAGGUCAUGAUCUUACAGUCCGUUAGUCUGUGAGUUCAAGCCCCAUGUCGGGCUCUGUGCUGACAGCUCAGAGCCUGGAGCCUGCCUUGAGUUCUGUGUCUCCCUCUCUCUCUCUGCACCUCCUCUACUAGCACUCUGUCUCUCUCUCUCUCAAAGAUAAAUAAACAUUAAAAAAAUUUUUUGAAAGGUACCUGUUAUACAUAUGUAUUUGUUCAUAAAGUGAAAUAUAUUAUCAGACAAUAACAUGUAUUCCUAUUUUAAUCUUUCCACAUCAUCUACAAAACAUAUCUAUCCAGUCUUCAUCUAUAGAAGUUAAUCAUAGAUCAGAAACCCAUACAUAUAUUGCUUUUUCCUUAUUUUAAGCUAUUAAUUCUAUGAGAAUAUAUAUAUGUGUGUGUAUAUAUAUAUACAUAUACAUGCAUAUAUACAUCAUAUAUAUACACACAUAUACAUACAUAUACAUACUACAUAUACACAUACAUAUAUAUAUACAUAUACAUACAUAUGUACAUACAUAUAUACAUAUACAUAUUUUAUAUAUAUAUAUAUAUAUAAUUAAGCCACUUAAAUUAUCAAAGCCAAAAUACCAUACCUAUUUGUAUUUAUAAAGAACAAACAUAUUUGUACUUAUGAAGAAUUAAAUAUAAUUACCCUUAACUCUUACAGUCAAUAUCCAUAAUUGGUUAGCAAAGAAUGACUUGAUUUUUUUUUUAACUACAUGUUGUUAGUAUUGACUUGAUAUGGAAUGUCUUUAUCAGAGCAAAGAGAUUAAAGCGCACACAAAAAAUAAAACUACAAACUUGGAAUCUCACUCGUUCUGAGUGGUUUCACCUGCAAUCUGAGCAAAAAUGGAUCCUAGGCAAACUUUCUUAAAAUUACAUCCUUUCCUUACUUUUGUAACAGAAUGCCUUAUGUGUAUUCCAAUGAAAAAAACAAAGACUCUGUAUCACAUUUCAUUGAGAAAAUAAAGACAUUUAGCAGAAACUUCAUAUUUUUUUCCAAAAUGUCUAUAAAUCCACAUAGUCCUAAAUCUAUGUUUUCCAUCAUCUUGCUAAUUAACAACACUGGAAAUAUCAUUCUUCCUAUCAAGUGUUGAUAUAACCAUCUGUCUUGGAGUCAACCCCCACGGACCAUGCCUUCUCAAAGACAUCCUUCCCCUGAAUCUUCAGCAUUCCUUUCUAAUGGAUCAUCCUAACCACAUACAAACAUUCUAUCACUCUCAUUUUAAAACAGAACAACCAAUUGCAUUUUACUCUGCACUUCCUUUAAAAUAUCAUCUAUUUUCUCUUCUCUCAAUUAUGUUCAAAGUUCUUAAAAGAGUUGCUUAUUCUAAUUAGGUUUUCUCCAUUAUAACUCAAAAAGCUACAAUCCUAGGACCACCAAUUACCUCCACAUCUGUCAAAUUAAAUCAUAUGGAUACUUUUUAGUGUUCCUUUCACACACUGACCACAUUAUAUAUGACUGUCCUCCUCUACCCUCCUUCUUCCUUCUUCUUCCAUCCCUCUCCUUUCCCUCUCUCUCUCUUUGGCUUUGCUCACAUACCACCUGGUAGUUAUUUUCUCCCAUCCCACUGCCUGUCUGUCUUUGAUUUUCUUUCCCAUCUCAUUCUCUUCUAUUUAACUACUAACUACUAAAACUCUUAAGAGCUCAGCUUGGAGUGAUUUUUUUUUUCCCUACAAGGUAAUAUCUGCUAUUCCCAUUUGCUUUUAAUAUCAUCUAUUUAGAAAUGAUAUCCACAUUAAGUAAAUAUAUAAACUAUAUACAUACAUACACAUACAUAUACUUAUAUUUAUCAUCUAUCUUUCUAUCUUAACUUCUGAUCCUUCCAACAACUUGUUUUUAUCUCGUUUCUCCAUUUCAAGAAAUGGCAGUGUUGAUUAUUCAGUUGCUCAUGUUCCCAACCUGAGGGGCAUUGUUAAAAUCUCCAUCCCCCUCAUCAGCCCCAUCAAGAGGUAAUCUUGAUCAUACCACAUAUUCACACACACACACAAUCUCUCUCCAUCUCCAUAGUCCAAGUGCAAGCUCACUUCAUACAGGAUGGCCAGGAUAAUCUUAUAAAAGUAUAAUGGGAUCAUGUAUUCUCCUAUCUAAAAUGAUUGUUAAUUUAAAGUAAGAUAAAGAUUUAUUAUCUUGGCUAGCAUAUUCUUAUGAUUUCUAACCACUUCAAUCACUCUCCAGUGUUCUAGAAUCUUCUAUCCAUCCUUCAGUUCUCAAGUUGAAUUAUUACUUCCUAUAAGACAAUUUUCCUUAUUUGAUCUAAAGAAAGUCCCUUUUUCCUUUCUCAUACCCUCUAUUUUUCCAGUACAAUCCUUAUUACAAUUUGUAAUCAUAUAGUCCUUUGCAUGCUUACUUAUUUAAAACUAAUCACUAAUUUUAAAGAAUCAUAAAAAUUGUGUUUAUAUAUGAUUUCUUUACUACUUUAUAUGCAACCCCUUGCUUUACACUUGAGAAUCAGUAGGUAUUUAAUAAAUAUUUUCCAAAGAAACAAAUACUGUAGCAAAACCCUUUCAGUAGUAAAGAGCAUUAAGGUAAAAUUCAGUAUAAAUCUAAAACAAAAUAAACAAAAAAUGCAUAAAAACACACAUGCUGGUUCCAAGCUGUUUUAUAAGCUAUAUUUGUUCCAUCAUACCCAGCCUUUGUACAAUGCUUAUUAAAGUAAGCUCCAUGUGCUUUGCUAUUAACAGUCUAUUUUAAACAUGUGCUAUAUGUUAGGUGUUAUAUCUAUUAACAGAAUAUAUAAAGUACUAACCUUAAGGAAAUUUCAAGAAUAAGGUAAAAUAAGGCUAAGACAUUAAAAAAAUAUAACAAGUAAGUUAUACUCAAAAAAUAUACUUGAAAAAUAUUUAAUUUUUCUUUAUUACUAAUAUAACUACUUAUCUAAAACUUGACUCAAUUUAAACAUACUGAAUUCUUGUAUUUUAUUAAAGAUCCUGUUAAUUAUACAAUUUCUACUGAAAAAAAAAAACCUUCCUUGGUUGAUUAACUUAUUAAUGGAAUUCCUGCUAUCCUAUAAAUUAAAACUCUGUACUUACUGAACGCAAUAUAUUUACAUCCACUUUCUUGAUUUGUCAUAAUGCUCAUUGCAAACAUUAUUAAAUAGCUAAAAAUAAACUGAAAUGGUGAAAGUUGAAAAUUAACAUGGAAAAUUGGCCUAAAAUUUAUGACAGGGGUAAGAUUUAUUUGCCAGUAACAAUAAAUAACAAAUCCCUUAUAUCAACUCCUAUAAAAUACACAUUUUCCUAUAGAAGGUGUUCCAAAAUCUACCAAAAAGCCAAAAUUACAAGACAUACAUAGAAGUAAACAUGAGUAAAAACUAGGAUGUUGAAAGUAUGGUAUAAUUCAACAGUUAUAAAAGGAAGAUUGGAAGUACCCUUUUCUGCUUUGGCUGAAUUUGUUAAGUAUCUGAAUGCUGUCUUCCAGCCCUACCAACACCCAGGCUUUCCGGAAAGGAAGACAGUGUCACCUGCUCCCCCUAUCUACCUCCUCAAAAUGUCUUAGAUCAUUUCUACCACGUGUAUCAAAACUGGCCUGCUCAGAGCACCUCCUCCAAAUACUGCCUUAUAAAAGAAACGGUGAGAAUGUAUGCUUUAUGCAGAAAAUUUAGGAAAAGAGAAAACACUUGGAUUCUUCAAUCUCCCAAGCAAUAUUUUUUUAACAAAUGUGAACUCCUGGUUUUGAUGCACAUUUAAAUUUAUUGUAUGUUCUAUUGUAUGUUCCGUUUUUUUCAAGAGUGAAAUUUUCAUUGAAACUUUAAAGUUGAAAAAGUUAUCAGUUAACAAAAGGUAGCUUCUCUAGGAAAAAAAAAUAAGUUUAUUUAUGCUUAUCAAUAAAGAUUUCUAUAAAAGUUCUGAGAAAGGAGCAGUCUACUGAUAAGGGAGUCCCACUCAAAGUAGAAGCUUAUGGCUGGAAAUAAAUAAUUUUGUUCUUUCUCCCAUUGUUUCUCAGCAUCUUUGGGUUCAUUACUGUUUUCCUUCCAUAUGACGAAUAAACUAGGAUAAAUACAAUCCUUUCUCUUUCUUGUUUUUAGCAAAUCAGACAGGAGCUCUGUACCUCUCAUUAGUUGUCAUAAAAGAUCUACUUCCCUUUUACACAUAACUGCUUUCAAAUUAGGCAGUAUGAAGAUCCUAACUUUGAGGUCAAAUAGGUUUGGGUUCAAAAUCCUUUGGGCAAGCUAAACAGUUUCCUCAUUUUUAAAAUGGAACACAUGCGUCACAGAUUGUUGAAAGGUUUGCAUGAGAUUUUAGAAGCACCAAAAAAUUAAUGGCUCAUUUUUUUCAGUGUUUACUAUACAGUACUCAUUAUACUAUUUCUCUCCCUUAAUUUCAGUUUUUUACAUGGCUAAAUUGAAUGCUUACUUACAUAGAAAAAUGUACAUAUGUUCACAACAUCUACUACAUUUCAGUUUCUUUUUUUUAAUUUUUUUAAUGUUUAUUUAUUUUUGAGAGAGAGAGAGAUAGAGAGCGGGGGGGGGGGGGGGGGGGGGGGGGGGGGGGAGGAGGAGAGAGAGAGAGAGAGAGAGAGGGAGACACAAUCCAAAGCAGGCUCCAGGCUCUGAGCUGUCCGCACAGUACCCAAUGCAGGGCUUGAACCCACGUGCCAGAACCGUGAGUGAGAUCAUGACCUGAGCCGAAGUCAGACACCCAACUGACUGAGCCACCCAGGCNNNNNNNNNNNNNNNNNNNNNNNNNNNNNNNNNNNNNNNNNNNNNNNNNNNNNNNNNNNNNNNNNNNNNNNNNNNNNNNNNNNNNNNNNNNNCCCCUACGUAUCAGUCUCUUUAUUGAUAUUAAAGAGUGAUUCCUCAAAAGACGUGUUUUCAGACAUAUUUUUAUCCAGUGGGUACUUGCAACUUUAUACUAUGUAAUCAAUUACACUGUAUAGAUAUAGACUGCUAUGGUUGUGUGUGUGUGUGUGUAUAAGUAAAAUAUACAUAUAUUAUAUGUAAAUUAAACGUUAGUUUUAUUGUCAAUAUUUACAAUUUCUCUCUAAAAAAAAAAAAAAAGAAGAAGAACGAUCCCAACUUCUGCUAGUGACAUUCAGUGGAAGGGAAGAAAAUGACCCAAGAAAGUCAUUUGGAGAGAUUAAAUGUUUUAGUCAUCACUAGCAUCUCAAUUACCUAAUAGGUUAUCUGGACACAAACAUCCAGUUUUGAAGACCUUAAAUAGAAUUUUUCAAAGUAGGAUCAUAUCUCCUUCAACUUUAGUUUAAAAAACUCCUGUCAAAAAUUUCCCUUAUUUAAAAAAAAGAGCAAUUUUAUAUUCAGUAAGGGAUUUUGGAGAAGAGGAGAAUCACCAUUUAACCUGUUGCUACACUAUACACACAUUAUGUAUACACAUAUCAUAUAUACAAUUAUUCACACAAAAUACAUGCAUGUAUAUUUACAAAAUGGUGGGGGAGAUUAUCUAUCUCCAAACCCACCUACCAUUAAUUACAUGUCUGGGAUUAAUCCAACACUGAAAUGAGUCAAAAAUUACUUAUUGUAUAUUGAUUAAAGCAGGGGCUGGGCAGGCAUGAAUAUCAUGGUGUUUUCCUCCUCCUACCUCUGAUGCAAGGAAUAUAUGUUCUCAGAUGAGUUAGAUCAUAGACUAUACUAGUUGGUUUAAGUAACACAGUCCAAUAAUUUCAUUAGAGCAUAUGUUUAGGACAGCGCAGAUAGAAAAUAUUUUAUUAGUUUUUUUUGAAUAAUUGUAUCUUACUCUCUCAUUUUAAGUAUGAUCUAGAUACCAUAUGCCAGAACUUCCAUGAAAAUGCACAGUUCUAAGUCUUGUAUUAAAUAUUCUAUACUGUGAAUAUUGAACAUUUUAUAAUACUAAUAUGAUUGAUUAUUAAUAUAAGAGAGGCUAUAUAAAUAUAAUAUAAAAAUAUUCUAUUUUAAAUAGCACAGUAUUAAUAUUAAACAUUCUGUGAAUAUUAAUAUUCAUGCAAAAUGUGAAAAUUCUAAUCAUUAAAAUUCAAUUUAAAAAUACUGUUGAAGGUGCACCUGGCUUGCUCAGUUGGUACAGCAUGUGACUGCUGAUCUCAGGGUUGUAAGUUUAAGCCCCAUGUUGAGUAUAGAUUACUUAAAAAUUAAAUUUUUAAAUAAAAAAUUAAAAAGUAAUAAUACAAAAAAAUACUGUUGAGUAAUAAGAAAAUUAAACAUAACUAUUUCAUGAUAAAAUUAUUAUAACAUAGCAUUAAUAGUAAUUGAAGCACUUUAAAAUGUGUAAUGCAUAUAUGUGUGUGUAUGUAUGUACGUGUGUAUAUGUAUAUAUACAUAUACAUACGUGAAUUAUAUAUGUAAAUUAUAUGUUCUACUCAAAAACAACCAAAAAUAAUUCUGUACAUUCAUUCUCAUUGCAAAAGCACUUCUGUUUGUUUCUCAUUCCUUCCAAGAGAUAAAUUAUAGCAUUUGUUUUUUUUUUUACAUUACAUAUUAUCAGAGCUUUGGAAGGAUGACUCCAUUUCUGGCCUUCAGGGUGGCCUCUGACUGCUUUGCUAAUCCACAUAAUACAACUCCUUACAUGGUGGUUGAUUUAAGGACAGGUACACAACCCAAGAGUAAGCCAACCCAUGUAUGGCAUCCAUAGACACCACUGACUGCUUCAGGAUGACCCAAUGAAACAAAUUGCUCUAAUCUGAGGGAAGCCUAGAACUUCGGUUUGAUGUUGCAGGUAGCACAUUCUAUGUAAGGUCAAGAACUAUUACAGCAUUUUGCUACCCUGAGAGAAACCAGCCAGGGAAUAUGUCUUAUGACAAAGCAAAGAUGAACCAAGAAAGUGGCAGAAAUGUAGAGCAAAAUUCCUGAUCAAAUCAUACCUGAAGCUUAUACAUCCUGGCCUUUCAGAGACUUGAGCCAACGUACUGUUUGUUUGUCUAAGACAGUUUGAGUUGUUUUGGUCUUUUUGUUGUUGUUGUUUUUGUUUUGCUGCUGACAGCCAAGAUUUACUAUAAUAUCUACCAUAUUACUAUGACCUCCUGAGUGUUUUCAAAAUAUGUAAUUAAGAAGUAGCUGCAGAACUAUAGACUAACUUCAGUGGGAUUCCUGCCAGAGUUAAUAGUGCCGUCCUGUGACAGAACAGAGAUAUAUCUAAAGUAGCACAUCUGUGUUUAUACAAACAUACUUACAUUAAAAUCAUGUGUUAAGUAAUGGAAGGGAAAAAAAUGAUACCCCAUUGUCUUAAUGGAAUGUUUUCCGAUUCCUAUGAAUUAUUCUUAGGUGGUAAGGAUUCUGCUCAGAGUUGUCACUAUCUUUAAGGGAAAAAAAAACUAUGACAUUUUAAAAUGUCACUUUGUAGAAUAAAAUUCGCAGAUGAUUCACUAUGAUGGAAUACUUUUUUCCCCUUUACCAUCCAGCAGAGUGGUGCCACUUAAAAAAAUAAUUAAUAAAUACAGGUUCAUUUCCAAUUUGUGAAAAAGUGAAUGUGAAAGAGGUUAAGCGUAUGUGUAAGAAAAUUUGUGAGUGAAAAAAAUAGAAGAGAAGUUAGAAAGGUAAUUAGCCAAAUAUAAAUAGUUUUUGGAUUAUUCACUGCUGUACUUUAUCCUUCUUUUGAGAAGGUAAUUGGGAACUGAUUGCGUUCUCAGAAUUACUAGAGAUGCAGCAGAUGGCUUUAAAAAUAUUCUCAAAUUAAAACAUGAGUUUACUGUGUGAUCUGGCAACAGAAAUCAUAAACUUUUACUUUAUACAUUCACUCUUGUUUUCGCUGAUGUAAUCCAAUGUAAAUAAGAAUUGCAUUCUAUUGAAAAGGAAUUUUUUGGCAAAAGUUUCAUCUUGAACAUCAUAUUCUAAUACCAACUAAAUAACAUGAGACAAAUGCUUAUAACCAUAGGUAACUUACUACACUCUAUAUGCAUUUUUUACCAUGCAAAUACUCAUACUAAGUUUUACAAAAUUCAAAAUUUCACAAAGACAGAUAUAAAUAAAUGGUAAUUUUAUCAAAUGUUAGGUUAGGAUUGAGAAAACCUCUUUACCAGCUCAAGAUUCCAUUUAUUGUAAAACUGAGAACAAGGAAAUCAUUCACAAUUUCUUUAAUGGCUAGAAUAAUAUUUGCCAUCUUCUAAGGUUGCUUUUAGAAUUACUGAGGUAAGACAUUUAAGUGUUCAUGGAAAUUGUCCUAUGCUUUUAAGAUACCAUUAAUCUACACUUUGAAACCAACAUCAUUUUUCCCACCUCUUCAGUAUUUCCAUAAGAAAGACUCACAUGUGGUGCAGCAGGAAAACACACACUGCCCUGAGUGCUUAGAUUAAGUUACUUCCAGAGGCUCUCCUAGCACCGCUUGAUUGACCUAGGAAAAAUCACUGAAACCAUCUGGCAUUGGAUUUCCUCAUUUGUAAAAGGAAAGCAAGGAUAUAUUUAGAUCUGAUAACAGCUAAUAUUUUUCAACACUCAUGGAACCAUACAUUGGUUAGACUCAGGAAAGUAAAUGAUAGAAAUAAAAUCCAGCUCCAUAUAAUGAAUAUGAAAACUAAUUUAACUAUGAUUGCUAUUUAUUACCAAAAUAAUUUCUACCCAAUUUUUUGAUUAUCUUUUUCCUUUUUAUAAAAUAAUCGACAUGUUAUUUUACAAAAUAUCACACUUGUAUAUUUCCUCACUAUUUUUUUAAGUGUUUAUUUUUGAGAGAGACAGAGAGGGAAAGUGCACAUGGGAGAGGGGCAGAAAGAGAGGAAGAGAGAGUUCCAAGCAAGGCUUGGGUUGACAGUGCAGAGCAGCUCAGUCUCACAGUUCAUGAGAUCAUGACCUGAGCCAAAAUCAAGAGGCGGCUGCUUGACUGAUUGAGCCUUCCAGGUGCCCCAAUUUCCUCGCUAUUUUUAAUGAUAAGUAGGUUUUUAGUAAUUUUCCAUAAUGCUGCCAAAGGUUGAUUUGAGAAGGUCUUCUGUAUCAGCAGACCCUCCACCUCAUUCUUCCUGUUCCUGCUCUGGAGGCUCUUCCAACUUGCCUAGAGAGUCUUAGCCUCAAGUUAUUUGCAUGUCUAAUCUCUGCCUGAAGCACUUCUCCAAAUUUUUGCUUGCCUAGACCAUUAAGAUCUCAGUUCAACCUUCAUAAUCUCAGAGAAGAGUCCCUGAUUUGUCUAGCUAUUACUGCCCAUUGUACUGCAGUCUCUACUACUGUUACCUCUCAGGUUUAUCUUCUCCAGGGAGCUUCAAGAUGAAAUCAUUCUGCUUGUGUAUUUGCUUGUUUUUUCCUUUGCCCUUACAAGAAUAUACAUUCAUAUACUUAUAUAUAUGAAGAAUACAUAUUUUCUUCGCCUUGGCAAAAGGACUUGUCAGUCCCUGGCAAUAAAAACUACCAUGAUUAAAGGACUAUAAAAGUGCAUUUGAGGAUUUAUAAUAUAUAAAAAGCUAAAUGAUUAUUAACAUAAUAUAAAGUCAGUUCAUUCACAGUUAAUAAAUUAUGAUCAUGUUACAUAUUUAAGCUGUUUUCAUUAUUUGGCCUAUCAAUAAGUAGCUAUACCUAAUAAAAUGCAUUGUAUAUAUAAUUAAAUCUAAUAUUAUGUUUUUUUCUCUUAAAGCUUAUUUAAAAUUUCAGGUGUUAACAAGACCAGAGUUGUUUUCUUUUUCAAGCAUGAACUGUAGCAAAGUUCACAGGCUAUAGUUCUCUUUUGAUCUCAACCAAGCAUCAACAUAGCUUAUUUGCAUGACUGAUUAUAAAAUUUAGUUAUUCACUGAAUGAUGUUCAGCUGCUGCACUGUUCAAGUUCUGUCUAAUAACUACAGGGUGAAUGAUUGACAAUGGUUUAUCAUCUUUCUACUGCAAAAGCAGGUAAAUUAGUAAACUAGAUGUUUAAUU
rnacentral:lncRNA from 1 species